rnacentral:rRNA from 1 species
CAGAACGAACGCUGGCGGCAGGCCUAACACAUGCAAGUCGAGCGCACUCUUCGGAGUGAGCGGCGGACGGGUUAGUAACGCGUGGGAACAUACCCUUUUCUAUGGAAUAGCCUCGGGAAACUGAGAGUAAUACCAUAUACGCCCUUCGGGGGAAAGAUUUAUCGGUGAAGGAUUGGCCCGCGUAAGAUUAGAUAGUUGGUGGGGUAAUGGCCUACCAAGUCUACGAUCUUUAGCUGGUUUGAGAGGAUGAUCAGCAACACUGGGACUGAGACACGGCCCAGACUCCUACGGGAGGCAGCAGUGGGGAAUCUUAGACAAUGGGCGCAAGCCUGAUCUAGCCAUGCCGCGUGAGUGACGAAGGCCUUAGGGUCGUAAAGCUCUUUCGCCAGAGAUGAUAAUGACAGUAUCUGGUAAAGAAACCCCGGCUAACUCCGUGCCAGCAGCCGCGGUAAUACGGAGGGGGUUAGCGUUGUUCGGAAUUACUGGGCGUAAAGCGUACGUAGGCGGAUUGGAAAGUAGGGGGUGAAAUCCCAGGGCUCAACCCUGGAACUGCCUCCUAAACUACUAGUCUAGAGUUCGAGAGAGGUGAGUGGAAUUCCAAGUGUAGAGGUGAAAUUCGUAGAUAUUUGGAGGAACACCAGUGGCGAAGGCGGCUCACUGGCUCGAUACUGACGCUGAGGUACGAAAGUGUGGGGAGCAAACAGGAUUAGAUACCCUGGUAGUCCACACCGUAAACGAUGAAUGCCAGACGUCGGGGGGCUUGCCCUUCGGUGUCACACCUAACGGAUUAAGCAUCC